AUGUAUGAACACAUAGAGAGAAAUAUCACGGGUUGUGGUUUUAAGUGGAUUUGGAAAGCUAAAAUUCCUUCUAAAAUCCAUAUCUUCCUUUGGCAACUUUUUCAAUAUGCCGUGUUGACCAGGGAUGCUAUGAGCAGGAGAAAUUGGACCGGGAAUCCGCGCUGCUCUUUUUGCAGCAAGAGAGAGAUGUCCCAGCAUCUCUUCUUCUUAUGCCCAUUGGCUAGGGUGGUUUGGAGAACUGUGAGAUCAAUCUUUGGCACCAAGUUGUGCCCUAACAACAUUUGGCAGUUUUAUUCGUGGUACUAUACAAUGCAACGGCUCUCUCGCGACCCCGACCCCGCGCCCCUCAACCAGCCCCCACCGGCGGCGGCCACCCCGGCCCCGCCGGCCACCCUACCGGCGCCUCGCGUGCUCCCGCGCUCGCGGCCGCUACCCCCAGCCUGUAGGAUGCGGCAGGAGAACGGUGGCCGGCGGAGUGCGCAGGUCUCCCGCUCGUGCUCCUCGAAGGCUGCAGCGGCGACCACACCGGCUGCAGCGACGAGCUUCCCAGCUCCGUCACCCGCCACCUUGGCCGGCGCCUCCUCCAGCCAGCUGCCGGAGCCACCGGCGUCGAUCCCCAUCACCCCUCCCCCGCUCGAUCCAGAUCAGGCGGAUCUGGAUCCCGUCUCUCGGUUACCUCCGGCUGUCCGGAGCGAUGCUCCUGACGAUGUCAUGGGGGUGCUGCUCAGGGCUAGGCCUGGCUCCCGGUGCUCCACCGUCGAUGGCGAGGGGAGUGUGGAGCUGGCCCAUCUGCCGCCGACCAUCGUUCCCUGCACCAUGAAGCGCUUGCCAUGUAGCUCUGUUCUCAAGGAUGUGGGCAAACUUCCUCCCGAUCUGGUGAUGUCGGUAGUGCCACCGCCGCCCCUCUGGAGCUCCGCUGGCGAGGAGGAGGACGACAAUGACGACGGAGAGGAGGAGCUUGCUCCACGGUCGCCGCCGGCUGCCUCCCAGUAUUCCCUGUGCUCUGUUGACGCCAAUGUUGCUCAUGCGGGGCCGUGGGCAUCUCUGGUCGAUGCAGAUGGCCAGGGUUCAGGCGAGGAUCGUGACAACGGCGAUUCUGGCAAAGGGGACCUGGCGCACCGAAGACGGCAACGUCUGUUGUCGAAGGCUCAUGCUCUGGUGCGGUCGGUGCGUCGACUGCUUGCUGCUAUCCUUGCGAUCAGGCGGAAGUUGUGGUCGCACAACCUGGGGAUGGUCCCUGGAUUUACGUCGGACGAAGGCGUCGUCCCCGUUGUCAUGUGCCUUGCAGCAAGUCUUCCACGCCCCCGACCUUUCAUGAUGCGAGGUCUGUGCAAGCCGACACAUUCAAGAGGAGAACCCGUGGUCGAUGUUUCUGUUGCUUGGCUCCGGACCACAAGGUUGCGUCCUGCCGCGACCCGUUUCGAUGCCUCACUUGUCUUCGCUCUGGACACCGUGAGAGGGACUGUUCUCUGCGUCACUCCUCCGUUGAAGCUGUUCGCCACUGUGUGCGUGACCCCCCAGCUCCGCCUCGCCCUUCCUCAGAUGGGCGCUCUUGGGCUUCGGUUGUUGCUCCCGCAAUGUGUGUGCAAGCUCCUGAGUCUGCAAGGAUUGUUGAAGCUCCAAGCGAAGGUUCUGUUGAUCAGGGUGUUGCGACAUCUGAUGAUGCUAUGCUUGUCUCAUUUCGUGCAGAGCUGCAAAGCUUGGUUGAGUUUGCGCUCCGCCCGCUGCGCAAGCUGGAGGACUCUUUGUGCCUGUGGUUGGCACGUGCGUCCGACCUCUUGGAGCAGGCGGAGGUGUCUGAUGGUGAGCGUGGGUUGA
rnacentral:rRNA from 1 species